CGAUAUAUGUGUUUACAGUUGAUACAGAGAAGUUCGUCGAUUGAUACGAGCAAAUAAUAGGACGUAAGGAAAUCGUAGUCGAUAAUAGUAAGGUUAUAGAUAUGUUAACUAACAAAUCACAAGAAGAAAAAGAAAGAGGAGAAGGGGAAGGAGAGUACGAAAGAGUCAUUUGAAAUUUGACGACGAAGAGUCCUGAUUAUACGAACGAGGCACGUUAGUCGUUCUUGGUCAUUCGCACAAACGAAACGAAAGAAGCGUGACGUUCAUUAGAGCAUUUAGAUGGAGUCAACAAAAUGAUUACGAGCUCGACACUUUCACCGCGAGCAGAGAACCGUAAAACGAUGACGUGGAUCCUUUUGCAAAGCUCCGUCGAGUUUCGUCGUUUCGAUCGUUCAUGUUACACCUGUGAGAACGUGGAUAUACGAAAAUUCAUAGGGGAAAAAAGGAAAAAAUAAAACCAAGGAAAAGAAAAGAAUAAAAAAAAAAAGAAGAGAAAAAGAAAAUUAUAAAUUGGCGAAAUGAAUUUUUAAUCGCAAAUAUAUAUUUGCGUGUGUGCGCAUUCGUGCGUGUGGUGUCUCAAUUAAAAAAAACCUUGAAUUCAUUCAUGAGAAUCGUAAGAGCUUCCUUAAAAUAAAUUAAAUAGAUACAUAGAUAGAUGGAUUUUCGAAACAGCUGAUCGACAAUGAAUAGAUCAUCUAUAAAUAAAUCUUUCAUAGGUUUAUAUUUUGGUGAGCAGCUCCCGAGCUAACGUAAGAUAUAACUUUUAUUUUUGGAGCAGAUUGUAAAAGACAGAUUUCUAGGUAUAUACAGGAUAUAUAUAUAUAUACGUACAUGUAUAUACGUAACAAUGGUUGCUUAGUCACACGACCGGGUUCUUUAAUGACGACAUUGAUGAUGAUGACGACGAUGAUAAUGCUGAUACGCGCUCGUACGACUCGCAUCGAUUAUCAAAUCAAGUGGAUUAGUGCAUAACACAAAGGAUGCUGGUUUGCGUGAGUCAAGCGGAUAUAACCGAAGAGUUACCAGGAGUGGGUCAUCGUUUAAACGUAAUAGGAAGAAGGGUGAUCAAGAGAAGAGAAGAGAAGAGAAGAGGGACGGACGAACGGAUUCGCUUAUUCGAUUUUAUCCCGUCUCAUCUGGAAGCAACUUGUUGUUUCGUCAUACCUACCGAUAGAUCGAAAGCGACUAGCUCUAAACCGGUUAGAAGUUUCUUUAUCGUCAAGUCCUACGCUAACAAUGUUUCACUUGCAUACAUAUGCAUCUAUAUAUAUGCACAUAUACGUGAUUGAUUUUUCAAUUAAUCCGUGAUUGCUUAUCGAUUUAUAAUCGGUU